CUUCCAUUUUGUUGCCUGCCCUGAGACAUGGUUUUAAAAGUGGGAAGUAUCUUAGACAUCAUCCCAUCCAGCUAUUUCAUUUUACAGAUGGGAAAACUGAAGCAUAGAGAAGUUAGAAGACUUUUUCAAGGUUGUGCAAGGUACAUUUAUCAGGCUUGUCUCCAGGAAGGUUGUCUUCUUGGAAGAACUGUCAUCUCCAAAAUUCAAAUCCAAAUGGGGACAUUAGGUUGAUGAAAAGUCAUGCCUGGGUUUAGGAGGAAAAAGGAGAAAAUUGUGAAGGUGGAAGAGUCAUCAUUUAAAUUCCUCUACACUUUAAGAGAUGGUUUGUUUGUCCCAAUAAGAUGACCAGGGGGAGCCAUCCCGAGAGUGAGCCUCAUUCUAUAGCAUGUUAAAAAUGGAAAGAUCAGAAGGGUAGGAGCCAAAAUCCCCCAGUUCAAGCGUCAACUCUGCCACUUACUACCUGUAUAAUCUUAUGCAAGUCAUCGUCUUUGAACCUGUUUCUUAUUUAGAAAAUGGGAAGAAUUAUAGUACUUCUGUCUCCUUCAUGAAACUGUGUGUAGAAGUAAAUGAAAUGUGCAAAUCAAAUCAAAUGUAUUAAAGUGCUUUGUAAUCAUAAACACUAUGCAAUUAUGGAAUAUUAUUUAUAUAAUAAAAAUAUAUUUGGCUCAGUGGUUGUCUAUUGG
rnacentral:lncRNA from 1 species